UCGAACUCUGUGAAGUUUAAAGAUUUAAUAUCAUAGUUCAUUAUUGAAAAUUUCAACAACUUGUGCCGUACAAAAGUGUGAAUAGUUGUUCCGGGCGUAAAUAAAAUUUGGCACUUCCUUUAAAAUUGACUCUGAUGCCAAUGUAGCGCCAUACUUAUUUAACAAAUUUUUAUGGACACUUUUUUAUACACACAAAUUGCUCUUUUUACCUCUACGCACCAUCUAUGACUCUCUUUUUUCCACAAUCCAUAACCAAUCUUAGGAUAUGUCUAAGAUUAUAUACUCGAGGAUAUGUUCUGUGCGUUUAUCUAUGGAUACAAGCUUGAUGACACAAUGGAGUCCUAAAUUCCAUAAUAGAAUCAGGAUAAAGUGAAAAUUAUAUAACAAGUUUAACACAAUAAUUAUAGAUCUUAUUUACAAUGGCUUUGCAGUUUUCACGUAAAGCUGGUCUUGUUGGUGCCCUAGUAGGUGCGGCUUUUAUUUUGCAUUUUGGAAAUAGUCUAGUUAAACCUUUGGUAGUGCCCGAAAAAAAAUAUGAAGAUGUUAACUCUAAAAUUAGAAGAUGUACUGAAGAGGAUGUAUAAUAUGUGUACCGAAUGUGCAAUGUUCUAAUAGGUCUUUCUCUGGUCAAUUGUGGGCUGAUAAACAACUCUGAAAAUGACUAUAUAAUGGAUAUAACGAAUAGUCAUUCCAAAUAGAUAUAAUUAGAUCCGUUAAAAUAUUUGAAUGGGGAAGUGCUCAGUGCAAAGGAAUUUGAACAAGUUGAUUUCAGUGCAUAUGAAUAGGAUGAAAAUAAAUUUGCAAAUAACAAAUAGAGUAUUCCUAGAGGGUAUUUCUGUAAUAUCGCCAGCAUCGUUUCUGGUUUGAACGUAAGUAACAUACAGCAUAGAAUGAAAUUAUGGAAUAGGAGUCAGGAAAUUAGUUAUUUAGUUUGAAAUAAAAAUGUAUAAGUAG